rnacentral:lncRNA from 1 species
GUUUGAGAAACCCUGCUGUAAGUCAUGACAACCUGGAGAAGGGAGUGUCGUCCCAGCACCAAGUACUUAUAUAAAAUCAGUAGUUUUUCCAAACAGAAGCACAGAGCACCAAAUGGGCCAUAUGAGAAAAUGAAUCUUUUAGAUUUAGUUCUUCUUUGGCGAUCAUAUGCAGUCCCUUUCUAGGGAGAUGACCCAAGAAGUACUUAGAUGGGGUCUCUGUCACCCACACUAAAGUGCAGCCUCGAAGUCCUAGACGCAAGUCAUCAUCCCACUUCAGCCUCAAAACUAGCUGGGACUACAGUCACAUGCUACCACAUUUGGGUCAAAGUUGCCAUCUUGUACUAAAAAGAAUUGGAGAUAUAAGUCCAAACAAAAUUCCACAAAUCCAAAGAAUCACUAUAGUUGAUCAAAAUCAAAGAAGAAUUCAAAGUCAAAUGUUAAUCAAAUUACAGAAAAAUGAAAACCACACAGAAUAGUGAGAGUUGUAUCACUGAAGAGGGGAAGAUCUAAUUUUAGUAGAAAGAGAAUGGAAAAGGAAAGCAACAAGGAGCAAGUGACAAUGGGGAAGAAAAGCAGGACGUGGUAGCAUCAUGAUCAAGGGAAGCGGGGAGAAGAAAAGCAAUAAGAAAGAAGGUGCAAUUUGAGUGCUGAGGCACGUGACAGCAGCUCAGACUGCCAACGUGCUAGACUCCUCUGUAAGAGAAAACUGAAGCACAAAAAUCUUAGGUAAAUUGUCCCCAGCCACACAGGUAGACCAGGAUUUUUAACUAACUCUAAGACCACCCAGAGGAGCAGCUGGAAGAAAAAAAGUCAGUAUACCAUUACACAGAUUAACAGUAUAUAUGCAGAAAUCAAUUCUGUAAAUUGCAAAUCUGACCAUCUCAACUCCCUCUUAAAGUUCUCACUGUACCUCCUUUGUCUUCAAGACAAAACCCCAACUGUAUUGUGUAGCAUCCAAGGCCAUCUAAAAUGUCAUGGAUGAUUUCUGCUCUUAUCUUUUUCCUCCUUCCACCUCACACUUCAGGUGCUCUGAAUUAGUUGCAGUACAGGUACCAAACCAUCUCUUGCUAUGGUACCUAUGUUUCUCGUUGUUGUUUUUUGUUUGUUUGUUUUUCUUUCCGGAAUAUCCUUCUUUCUGUUUAAAUUACCAAUUUCUACUAAUCCUUGAAAAAGUGUCACCCACUCUAGAAAUCUUCCUCUGUAUCUCCUCCCCAGGUUGCAUUAAAAUAUCCCUUCUCUGGGUUCUUAGAAGACUCCACUUUCUUCUCUUACAGGCCUUAUUAGAUUGGAAUGACAGCCUUUUUCUAUAUUCAUUCUAGAAUUGCCUCAGACAGCAAGUUUGUCAUUUGUUUCUUGUAUCCUCAGGACUCAAAAAAGUGCCUGACUGAAGAUAUUCAGAGUGUGGCCUACCACCCAGUUUUAUGAAACUGAUGAAAUAAGUGCAUUUAGACAAUAAUUACAUAAAGGAAUUAAGUAUCUCCCUAGACUUAAGGAGGAUAGGAAAAGAGAUUUAAAAAUGCAUAUCCCAGAAGAUAUGCAAAAUCUCAGGCCCCACCUCAGGGUUCACUACCACCUUUAAAAUGUUUCGUAUUAAUCAUUAAACAUACAACAUAAAAUAAGAGUAAUAAAAUCAUUUGUCUCCUGUUUAAAAAACGUUCCUUAAGUGGUUAUUCUUUGCAAAGCAUUACAAAAAGCACUUUCCCAAACAAUUCAUUCAAUGUCUUGUAUAUUUAGAAAUACACCAUAUGCUUCAAGACCGUGAACAUCAUGAAGGUAGACAUUUUAUUCUUUUUAUUCCCAAUGCCUACUACUGGACCUACCUAGAGGAGGAGCUUAAUUACUAUACGUUUAAAUGAGUGAUUGAAUAAACAAGGGAAAAUAAAAUUCAAAAUAAUUCUAUUGAUUGUCAUUCUGAGUGUACACUUUCAGAAACAGAAUGAAGGCUUUCCAUAUUGUCACCAUUUUCCAUUUCCAAUGCUCAGUUUGCUAGUAAAAAUAUGAAAUGUUAUUUAAAAUAAUGUGAUGAGAAAGCUGAUUUAUCAAAACAGAAUUUACUUUUAAUGUAAAAUACAGCAUUUUAGAGUUGGUUGUAUCUAAAAUUACACUAAAAAUAAAGCCUAAGUAAAUUCAAAUUA